GGCGCCGUGACUUAGUUGGCUAAAGCGCCUGUCUAGUAAACAGGAGAUCACUAGUUCGAAUCUCGUCGGCGCCU
rnacentral:tRNA from 1 species